AGCAGUAUUUUUGACCUGCUGAAGGUCUACUAGACAUUCUGAUACCCCAUUGUUUGUAUGAUACUUUGAACAAUGUGGUUCAGAAUGUUGUGGAACUUUAGUACCCACAACAUCAUCUUCU
rnacentral:precursor_RNA from 12 species